rnacentral:rRNA from 1 species
GGUUAAGUGACUAAGCGUACACGGUGGAUGCCUUGGCAGUCAGAGGCGAUGAAAGACGUAGUAACUUGCGAUAAGCCCAGAUUAGGUAGUAACAACCAUUUGAGUCUGGGAUUUCUGAAUGGGGAAACCCACUUACAUAAGUAAGUAUCAUUAACUGAAUACAUAGGUUAAUGAGGCGAACCGGGGGAACUGAAACAUCUAAGUACCCCGAGGAAAAGAAAUCAACCGAGAUUCCGAAAGUAGCGGCGAGCGAAAUUGGACUAGCCCUUAAGCUUUACACGCGUUAGACGAACGGUCUGGAAAGUCCGACGAUACAGGGUGAUAGUAGUCCCGUAGUUGACGACGUGUGUUCAGUGAAAUCGAGUAGGGCGGGACACGUGAUAUCCUGUCUGAAUAUGGGGGGACCAUCCUCCAAGGCUAAAUACUACUGACUGACCGAUAGUGAACCAGUACCGUGAGGGAAAGGCGAAAAGAACCCCUGUGAGGGGAGUGAAAUAGAACCUGAAACCGUGUACGUACAAGCAGUAGGAGCAGGCUUUGUCCUGUGACUGCGUACCUUUUGUAUAAUGGGUCAGCGACUUAUAUUCAGUGGCAAGGUUAACCAUCUAGGGGAGCCGUAGGGAAACCGAGUCUUAACUGGGCGUUCAGUCUCUGGAUAUAGACCCGAAACCAGGUGAUCUAGCCAUGGGCAGGUUGAAGGUUGAGUAACAUCAACUGGAGGACCGAACCGACUAAUGUUGAAAAAUUAGCGGAUGACUUGUGGCUAGGGGUGAAAGGCCAAUCAAACCUGGAGAUAGCUGGUUCUCCCCGAAAGCUAUUUAGGUAGCGCCUCGGACGAAUACUACUGGGGGUAGAGCACUGUUAAGGCUAGGGGGUCAUCCCGACUUACCAACCCUUUGCAAACUCCGAAUACCAGUAAGUACUAUCCGGGAGACACACGGCGGGUGCUAACGUCCGUCGUGGAGAGGGAAACAACCCAGACCGCCAGCUAAGGUCCCAAAUUACUACUAAGUGGGAAACGAUGUGGGAAGGCUCAGACAGCCAGGAUGUUGGCUUAGAAGCAGCCAUCAUUUAAAGAAAGCGUAAUAGCUCACUGGUCGAGUCGGCCUGCGCGGAAGAUGUAACGGGGCUAAGUAGUAAACCGAAGCUGCGGCAAUAUACUUUUGUAUAUUGGGUAGGGGAGCGUUCUGUAAGCGGUUGAAGGUGUGUGGUAACGCAUGCUGGACGUAUCAGAAGUGCGAAUGCUGACAUGAGUAACGAUAAAGGGGGUGAAAAACCUCCUCGCCGGAAGACCAAGGGUUCCUGUCCAACGUUAAUCGGGGCAGGGUAAGUCGACCCCUAAGGCGAGGCCGAAAGGCGUAGUCGAUGGGAAACGGGUUAAUAUUCCCGUACUUCUUACAAUUGCGAUGGGGGGACGGAGAAGGCUAGGUGGGCCUGGCGACGGUUGUCCAGGUUCAAGUGCGUAGGCUUAAGAGUUAGGUAAAUCCGGCUCUUUUUAAGGCUGAGACACGACGUCGAGCACCUACGGGUGUGAAGUCAUUGAUGCCAUGCUUCCAGGAAAAGCCUCUAAGCUUCAGAUUGUAAGGAAUCGUACCCCAAACCGACACAGGUGGUCGGGUAGAGAAUACCAAGGCGCUUGAGAGAACUCGGGUGAAGGAACUAGGCAAAAUGGUACCGUAACUUCGGGAGAAGGUACGCUCUUGAUGGUGAAGUCCCUUGCGGAUGGAGCUGACGAGAGUCGCAGAUACCAGGUGGCUGCAACUGUUUAUUAAAAACACAGCACUGUGCAAAAUCGUAAGAUGACGUAUACGGUGUGACGCCUGCCCGGUGCCGGAAGGUUAAUUGAUGGGGUUAGACUUCGGUCGAAGCUCUUGAUCGAAGCCCCGGUAAACGGCGGCCGUAACUAUAACGGUCCUAAGGUAGCGAAAUUCCUUGUCGGGUAAGUUCCGACCUGCACGAAUGGCGUAAUGAUGGCCACGCUGUCUCCACCCGAGACUCAGUGAAAUUGAAAUCGCUGUGAAGAUGCAGUGUACCCGCGGCUAGACGGAAAGACCCCGUGAACCUUUACUACAGCUUGGCACUGAACAUUGACCCUACAUGUGUAGGAUAGGUGGGAGGCUUUGAAGCACGUACGCCAGUAUGUGUGGAGCCGUCCUUGAAAUACCACCCUUGUAGUGUUGAUGUUCUAACGUCGACCCCUAAUCGGGGUUGCGGACAGUGCCUGGUGGGUAGUUUGACUGGGGCGGUCUCCUCCCAAAGAGUAACGGAGGAGCACGAAGGUGGGCUAAUCACGGUUGGACAUCGUGAGGUUAGUGCAAUGGCAUAAGCCCGCUUGACUGCGAGAAUGACAAUUCGAGCAGGUGCGAAAGCAGGUCAUAGUGAUCCGGUGGUUCUGAAUGGAAGGGCCAUCGCUCAACGGAUAAAAGGUACUCCGGGGAUAACAGGCUGAUACCGCCCAAGAGUUCAUAUCGACGGCGGUGUUUGGCACCUCGAUGUCGGCUCAUCACAUCCUGGGGCUGAAGUCGGUCCCAAGGGUAUGGCUGUUCGCCAUUUAAAGUGGUACGCGAGCUGGGUUUAGAACGUCGUGAGACAGUUCGGUCCCUAUCUGCCGUGGGCGUUGGAAGAUUGAAGGGGGCUGCUCCUAGUACGAGAGGACCGGAGUGGACGAACCUCUGGUGUUCGGGUUGUGUCGCCAGACGCAUUGCCCGGUAGCUAAGUUCGGAAUCGAUAACCGCUGAAAGCAUCUAAGCGGGAAGCGAGCCCUGAGAUGAGUCUUCCCUGAUACUUUAAGUAUCCUAAAGGGUUGUCGGAGACUACGACGUUGAUAGGUCAGGUGUGUAAGUGCUGUGAGGCAUUGAGCUAACUGAUACUAAUUGCCCGUGAGGCUUAACCAU